rnacentral:rRNA from 1 species
AUACGGAGGGUGCAAGCGUUGUUCGGAAUUACUGGGCGUAAAGCGCGCGUAGGUGGUCUGUUAUGUCAGAUGUGAAAGUCCACGGCUCAACCGUGGAAGUGCAUUUGAAACUGGCAGACUUGAGUACUGGAGGGGGUAGUGGAAUUCCCGGUGUAGAGGUGAAAUUCGUAGAUAUCGGGAGGAAUACCGGUGGCGAAGGCGACUACCUGGCCAGAUACUGACACUGAGGUGCGAAAGCGUGGGGAGCGAACAGGAUUAGAAACCCUAGUAGUCC